rnacentral:lncRNA from 1 species
GGGCAAGGGUCCGGCUUGCCCCGUCUUGCUUGAUUCGCCACGAUGCUUUGCCAUGGCGAAGUUGCAAAGUUCGUUCGCUGUUCGCUCGAAGUGCUUGCCCGCUCUGAUACCACAAUGUCACGACCUUAGCUGGAAUUGCCUAAGGUGUGAGGCACCCUUGCGGCCAAAGACGCGAACUUAGCUUGCGUUGCCUAAGUCGCGAGUUACCCUUGUGGCAAAGACGCGAACUUAGCUUGCGUUGCCUAAGUCGCGC